rnacentral:sRNA from 1 species
AUUCUGCCCAUGCGGGGAAGGAUGAGAAGCCUCGACCAAGGUUCGACUCGAGCGCCAGCGAGAGAGCGUUGCCGCAGGCAACGACCCGAAGGGCGAAGCGCGCAACGUUGAGUAAUCCUUCCCCCACCACCA